AGUGAGCGCUGGCGGUAGGCCUAACACAUGCAAGUCGAACGGCAGCACAGUAAGAGCUUGCUCUUACGGGUGGCGAGUGGCGGACGGGUGAGGAAUACAUCGGAAUCUACUUUUUCGUGGGGGAUAACGUAGGGAAACUUACGCUAAUACCGCAUACGACCUACGGGUGAAAGCAGGGGAUCUUCGGACCUUGCGCGAUUGAAUGAGCCGAUGUCGGAUUAGCUAGUUGGCGGGGUAAAGGCCCACCAAGGCGACGAUCCGUAGCUGGUCUGAGAGGAUGAUCGGCCACACUGGAACUGAGACACGGUCCAGACUCCUACGGGAGGCAGCAGUGGGGAAUAUUGGACAAUGGGCGGAAGCCUGAUCCAGCCAUACCGCGUGGGUGAAGAAGGCCUUCGGGUUGUAAAGCCCUUUUGUUGGGAAAGAAAAGCAGCAGGUUAAUACCCCGCUGUUCUGACGGUACCCAAAGAAUAAGCACCGGCUAACUUCGUG
rnacentral:rRNA from 1 species